GCGAUAGGCCGUAGGAUAAAACUAUAACACUUUGUAAGAUGUUUAAAGUAAAUAAAUAAUAUAUAAAAGAUGUUUAUAAAUCACGAGUUCUCAUAUGAUAUUAGUCCUUGUCUGGGACGAACUAACUAUCGAAUAUUGCUUUAUCGGGUUGAAAAGACUAGAGUAAUAUCCGAUAGGAGCGUCUGUGUUCUUUGGUUGUUGGUCUAAGGCGAUCGAAUUUAUUUCGAGAACAUCGGGUUGACCAUCAGGGAACAUCGACCGUGUCAUUUCUGGUUAUCUAUGAUCGGGGGUGUCAUACCGUCAAUCAAAUAGAUCCGGAUCUCCGGCUUCAACAGAGCGAAGAAGAUGACCACAUCUGAACUCUUGAACCUCUCAACCAACCAUAGCUCUUCAGACUACAGCCUCAAACCACAAAAAAAAAAUACAGCCUCAAACCACAAAAAAAAAAACGAAAGCUCUCUAGACACCGACUAAACAAAAGAGGGCCUGGGAUGUGAGACCGAAUCUGAUGCUAACAAAGCCAUCAAAGCCGGUCUCUGACAAGAUUGACAGCGAAACCCAAGGAUUAGGGUUUGACGGCUGUGAACAAGAUUACCAGGAUAAUAUAUAAUCAUCAUCAAUCUAAUUUGAUUAAACCCAUACAUAGCUAAAAGUUCCAAAAUAUCUCAUGAUCAACUAAAUCUUAACCUGUGCAUUCGCACAUAUUAUUUUUAAUAUAUAAAAAUAUUAAUGUUUGUAUUCCAAAAAUUUAUGAUAUUUUAGUGUUAUUCUAUAAGUCUAUAAUAGAUGUUCAUCUAUCUUACGAUUAUUUUGAUAUAAAUUCAUAAAAUAUUUGAUUUUUAAUUUUGAUUGCCCCACAUACUAACCGAUAAAUUUGAUUCAAAAUAUUAUUUAGAGGUUGUAUCAAUUUUUUUGUUAACAUUCAUGAGAGACAGAAUGAUAUGGAACUUAUCAGAUUCAUCACUUUAUAAAUGUUAUCUCAUGUGAAUUAUAAUGUUAUUGGUUUGUUUAUUAGAAAUAUAGUGGUCAGUUAAAUUCCUAAUGUAUACCUUAUAUAAUGUAUGGUAGAUGAAUGUUUAAAAGAUACAAUAAUAUAGGUUUGGUUUAACAAAUUAAAUGAAACAUUUUCUAUGUAUUAUAAACAGAGCUCAUCUAACUCUACUAAAAGGAGAAUAACAAGCCUUCUUAGGUGUGCCACCUAGGAUCAGAAAAUCAGUCACUAAUAUUGCAGCAAUGAGACAUGUCAUAUGUCUUGAUUUAUGCUUCUUAUUUGAUUUUGGGCUUCUUAUUAAACCUUUCUUUAGUUUGUUUAGGGUUUUUUUCUAUAGCUUUCUCGAUCAUCCUCUUUUCUAACUUCGGUGAUCACGCUGUUCGCCUCUUACCUUUCAACUUCCCGAUCUUCCCUUACUCUUCUCUCCAAAUCCAUUUCAACUCAUACUUUCACCACAAACUGCUCUAAUCAAACCUUUCUUGAUCUCAUUCAAUGGAUUCUUUUCAUCUUCCUCUCCAUUUGUCUGUCUAUAAAUCUCUUCCCUUGGCUUAUGUGUCGAUUAAAAUCGAAAAGCUUCUCUCAGACAAACGUCACGAUGGAACCCAAAGGAGACUCUUUGAUCUCCAGCAACCGCAAGACCAACAAGAAGACCGUCGCCUCCUCGGCGACUGCAAGGCCAAACCGGAAGUCCACUGCUUCCUCCACCAUUGUGAUGAAACCUAACGGAAAGUUUUAUGUUUCAUCUGCCAUUCUGAUGAAACCAAAUGCUUCUACCGCUCUCUCCUCCACGCAUGGUGAUCAAGUGAUGUUCUUCAGAGAUGUUUCACUCGGCCCACCCGAAGCCGGCUUGAGGUUUCGACUGAUUCAUUUAUGGGAGGCUCGAAAUCCAUACACGAAAACCCUCAUUGGACAGGAGAUGCUCCUUAUCGAUGAAUAGGGAACCGUUAUUCAAGGUUUUGUUCCAGCGGGACGGGUUGGGACAUAUAAACUGGAACAAGGUUUUGUUUAUAAACUGAGGAAUUUUUUCGGCUCCAGAAACAAAGCUCAGUAUCGUGUUACGGAUCAUAGCGCCACUGUUACAUUCGCUUGAAAUUAUGAAUUAUUGGUUCUUGAUAACCCUUUGGUUCCAGUUCAUGAAGAUAGGUUCAGGUUCCAUAGCUACGAGGAGUUUCAGGCCAACUGUGACCGCAAAGUUGAUCUUUUUAGUGAGCACUGUUGAUCUUUAUACUUAAAUCUUUAAGUUAUUUUCACAUCCAAUGAAUAUAAUUCCUUUGAAUUGUUCUAUCUCAGACUAUGUUGGCCAUAUGAAGCUGGUGGAUGGGCAGACUAUCACUGAGCAUAUGGUCCUCGACGAAGUUGACAUAUCAGAGAAGCGACAUCUAUGUGUUCAUGUUCAGACACAUGAGUAAGUUUGUCUAAAUAUUAGACGCAUUCUUUGUGUGUUAUGCUUAACACAUGAUUUAAACCUUAUGCAGUGGACCAGUGAUAAAACUCUAUCUAUGGGACAUGGCCGCAAUGACUUAUGUGAGAAAUUCAAAUCUUAUGGAAGCACUAUCCAAGCGUUCUGUUGGUCACCACAGUAAACCCUAAACAUCUUGGAGGUUAGCAUUUCACUAAACAACCGGAUUAAGUCACUGUAUUAUUAGGAUUAGAUGAUAAAUUGAUAUAUCUUGUAUGGCCAUUUAAAUUCUAUUGUCUCUCAUCGUUUAUCGUAAUUGGUUGUGUCCUCAUCUAGAACGUAGCUGUGGUAAUUUAAAAUGAACUGUAUUAAGUCGUUUUGUGUUGCUAAGUGAGACAGUGAUAUAACACGUACCGCCAUUUGAAUCCUAUUGUGGCAUUGUUUACGCAUUUGGUUGUUAGUAAUGAAUUCAUGUGUUCUGAACAUGAACCCUUGCUCUCACUUUGAUGGCAUCAUCUCGAGUGUUUAUGGAUACCGAUGUCCAGCCUAGCAGGGAUUAUCUUGGAUGGUAGGCAUUUUUGUAUUCAGUUAUAUUUUUCAUUCACUUCUGCUUUGGCAUUUCAUGCGACUUCAGCUCUGACAUUCUUUUGGUUUCCUCAUUUUUUACAGGCUGAGCUCCAACUCAGAUAUUGCUAAUAAGAUUAAUGCAAAGGUAGUUGUUCUGUUUCACAUUCAUUGUGUUAUGCUUGUGUAUUGACAGAGUGUAUUAUUUUUCACAAUGAUAGGUUGCUUGGUUUGAAUGCACAAGAACUAUAGAUGAUGUUGUUCAGGGUUCUGCUUGGUAUUAUAUAUCAUGUGGUGCAUGUAAUAGUAAGGAAGUCAAAGGGCCAACCUCUCUGAUUUGUAACAAUAAGAAAUGUGGGAAAAAUGAUGUUACAGGCGUUGUAAGUAUAACACAGUUUCAUUUAGUUUUUUCCACCACUAAAAGCUAAUGUUCUCUCAUUGCAGAUACCUCACGAGGAUUUCUGUUUAUAAUAAGAGUGAACAAGCAGUUUUUAUCAUUCUUGGUGAUGCUAGCAAAGAGUUGACUGGGAAGCAUGCAUCAGAAUUAGUUGCCAGUUACUUUGAGGUAAUUUCAAACCUGUCUAUACAUAGCCCCAAGUUAUUUGAACUUACAUAUAUUUUCUUGAACGUUAGUCUAAUGAGGGCGUAGAAGCUGAUCAUUGCGUGCCGGUACCGCAAGCUCUACUUGAUACAAUAUGGCAGACUUAUAAAUUCAUUGUUGAAGUCUCAGAUCAUAAUUUGUCGGGGAAGACUCAAACCAUAAUUGUUGCAAAGAUAUUCCCACCAGAAGCUCCACAACCUAUAGCUCCCUUGGAAGAACCCGCUGUUCUAUCAACGUCUGAUGAUAUCUUGAAGACUGGAAGUGAGGAAUCCGGUCCUUCCAGAGGCUUUGAGGAUUCUGCGGGUGAUAGGGUUAGAAAAGCAUCUGAGAGUCUUGAAUCAGAUGAAGCCAAGCGUUACAAGAGUGGCUAAUACAGCUUCAAUGAAGCCAAGCGUUACAAGUUUGCUUUUGAUGCAGUUUAAGUUUCGUUUUUAUGUUUACCUAAUUACUUUGCCUUCACUCCAUUUCUAUCUUCAGACUUUUGUUCAUUGGAGGCUUUUUCUGUUUCUUUGAAUACAAUUCCCGUUAUAUGAUUUUCCUUUUCUCUUAAAACAAUCUUAUUCUAUUAUGAUUAGAUUUAUUUUCUUUACUAAUACGCAUCUUAUUAAGAGUUUAAAAUAAGGAAGAAACUAACAUAGGAUUUGUGAUUAUCAUUGAAACUAACAUUUUGAAAGUUACAUAUUUAUUCAAUCUUUGGCAAGCGUGAUUUGGGGCAUUAUUUUAGCACCUAAUCAUCAAGUCAAAUUCAAGAAAUUAAUUACUCAGAUCCUAGACAUCUCCACUGCGUUGAUAUUAAGAAAACAAUAUACACAUUUCGUAGCCCAUAUGUUCCAAAUCAGUUUAUUCUUCUCUCAUAUGUUCUCUCAAAGAAACACCUAACUUCCUCUUUCAAAGAAACACCUAAAUUUAUUCUUCUCUCAUAUGGUCCAAAUCAGUUAACAAAUCAUCAUUGGAACCGACAACUAAGCUCAUAUCAAUUCAAUUCUCCAAAAGUGGUGUAAGUGUGAGAAUUUAUAAUAAGUCUACAAAUUGCUAUACCUAUUUCAAAUUUCUAAUUUACAAUCGGAUUGAAUCUAAGGUUCUCAAUAUCAACGGAAUGGAGAACCCACCUCCUACCUCCCUGUCCAAAUUGCAGGUAACACAAAUCUUAUUCCAGUUUGUGUGCACUUACUUUUCUAUGAAUAUUUCUCUAAUAUUUUUUUAAUUAUAUAAUUAUGUGUUUUUUACACAUGAUAAAUAUAUACAUUUAAAAUUUAUUGAUUAUUUACGUUAUAAUCAUAGAUGUUAGAUAUGCAUUUAAAAUUACAUAAUACUUUCCUUAUCAUAAUCAUAUACAUUUAAAAUUGCAUAAUUAAUUUCCUUAUCACGAAACAUAAUCAAUACAUGGGUCACCAAUUACAUAUAUACUUUCCUUAUAACUACAAUAAUAAUAUACACAUUUAAAAUGUAUAUAGAAUAAUGUGGCAAAAUAUGGGCUAAAUUAAAAAAAAAAUUGAGUUAAGACUUGAAAGUAAGUAAAUACUCAAUAUUUUUUAUAAGCUAAACAAGAAAAAGACGAUAAAUGAGUAAAAACUACAACACACCUCAUCUUCCCAAAUAGCAGCUGAUCUAUGCUCAUGUUGCCACACCAGUACAGACUGAUCAACAGGACCAGGGUCCAAAUCAAAGCUUAUUAUACUCUGCACCUCCAUCUACAUAUAUAGCACAUAACAGCAAUACAAUGAUCAUUAGUAUACAACAUAAAGGAACUACCUUUAUGAACAUUCUCUAUCAAAACAACAAAACGAUGAACUAACUUGAAAGAUAAUACUGAGGAAAAUCAUGCUAAUUACUCAUAUGCACAGACACGAAGAACUGAAACAAUAAACAGUAACCACAAAGAGACAAAAAAGGAACGAUUGACAAAACCAAAGUGUUUUGUGUGUUUAGUGCAAAUCAAUAUUCUACUAUAAGAACUAUAAUAUACUCAUAUAGUUUAAAAAUUUAUCUUUAAUAAGCAAUAAGAGUAUAUUUUCUUUAAAAAAUUCAAUAAUAUUCUACAAUCAAUGAUAAUAUCGCCUCAGUUGUUCUCGGAUAUGUAUAACCGGAUAUUUUUGUUUGUUUCAUAGGAAAAUAUCAGUUGUCCAUUUUGAGUGCAAAAUAAAUUAUAUUAUAGUUGAGAACAACGCGUUUAGAUUGGUAGGUUUAUGGUAUUUGUGGUUUUUCUUGGCGAAGACCAUAGUGUAUGAAUAGAGUACUAACUUAGAUCAAAAUUGAAAUUUGAUUAUAUUAAUUUUAAAAUGAUAUUUUUUUUUGUAAAACUUAUAAAAUGUUCUUAAUGUUUAUUUUGGUCAACCUGUUUUAAAUCUUUCGAACUAUUUUAAUGUUGUCACCAAUGUUUUGUCAUAUAAUCUUUCGAUCAAAACAAUGUUUAAUCAUUGAACUAACAGUAACGAAACAAACACAACAUCAACGUCUUCACUGAAUAAACUUUGAAAUGAACGUGUCUACAUGUCCUAUUCAUUUCUCAACUGUCACCAUUUAAAAAACGAUCUUAUAUUAUAAACUUUUAUGUUGUUCAAAAAAAAAAUUAUAAACUUUUAUUGAUAAUAUACAAUUUGCAACAACCAAACCUAAUUUCUGCGUAAAUGAUUCACUUAAACAAUUCUCAAAUAAUUAAAUAUAGAGGUAAUUAUUAGGUGGUUCAAGUCACUGGUUAUAAGAUUUGACCACCAUUUUUUCAUUAAUUCAUCGUUCCGUUUUGUGGUACUUAUGAAUACCCUAUAUACCAUAGACUAGGUGAUAACCCGCGCGCAUGCGCGGAAUGAAAAUAUUUAAAUAGUUUAUCACUUUAAAUAUAUAGGUAUUAAAAAAUAGAAAUCAUAGGAAAAAUAUGAUAUUUUAUAUGAUAAAAUAUUCCACGGAAUUGUGUAUGUGUAUAUAAAUUAAGCUUCGAUUUUAAAAGAAAAAACAUGUGUAUUUGCUUUGUUAACUUGAAGUGGUCCUGGAAAUGAAUAUCUAAGAAAAGAAAAAAUGCUAUAUAAAAUAAAUUAUGAAAUAAAGAUAAAAGAAACAUUGGCAAUAGAAUUAUUGUUUGUCGUAAGGAUGUAUUGAGAAGGAGAAUGUGGUGAAGAAAUGUAGAUAGAAGGCCUUGUAUAUAUAUACAAAAAGGCGUGAUGAGUAAAUAAUGAUAGCCAAUCGCCAUCUUUAUUUUUCGUCUUGAAAACUAAUAUUGAUUGUCCAAAACUUGCCGUAAUCAUGUUUCGUAAUUCAAAUACACAGCGGAUUCGAUGGACUAAGAAACAAUUGGUCAACGGAAAUCAAUUUAACUCAAUCAGUGUCGAUGAAAAAAGACAUGUAUGAUUCUGUUGGACAGUAAUUUUCCAUUACCAAAUUGUAUAAUAUUAAUGAGUACGUUUAAAACAGGAAUUAGUGUUAUAUUUAGCUCAAAAAUUCCUAA